AUUGAACGCUGGCGGCAGGCCUAACACAUGCAAGUCGAGCGGAUGAAGGGAGCUUGCUCCUGGAUUCAGCGGCGGACGGGUGAGUAAUGCCUAGGAAUCUGCCUGGUAGUGGGGGAUAACGUCCGGAAACGGGUGCUAAUACCGCAUACGUCCUGAGGGAGAAAGUGGGGGAUCUUUGGACCUCACGCUAUCAGAUGAGCCUAGGUCGGAUUAGCUAGUUGGUGGGGUAAAGGCCUACCAAGGCGACGAUCCGUAACUGGUCUGAGAGGAUGAUCAGUCACACUGGAACUGAGACACGGUCCAGACUCCUACGGGAGGCAGCAGUGGGGAAUAUUGGACAAUGGGCGAAAGCCUGAUCCAGCCAUGCCGCGUGUGUGAAGAAGGUCUUCGGAUUGUAAAGCACUUUAAGUUGGGAGGAAGGGCAGUAAGUUAAUACCUUGCUGUCUUGACGUUACCAACAGAAUAAGCACCGGCUAACUUCGUG
rnacentral:rRNA from 1 species